ACUCCUACGGGAGGCAGCAGUAGGGAAUCUUCCACAAUGGGCGAAAGCCUGAUGGAGCAACGCCGCGUGGGUGAAGAAGGUCUUCGGAUCGUAAAAACCCUGUUGUUAGAGAAGAAAGUGCGUGAGAGUAACUGUUCACGUUUCGACGGUAUCUAACCAGAAAGCCACGGCUAACUACGUGCCAGCAGCCGCGGUAAUACGUAGGUGGCAAGCGUUAUCCGGAUUUAUUGGGCGUAAAGGGAACGCAGGCGGUCAUUUAAGUCUGAUGUGAAAGCCUUCGGCUUAACCGGAGUAGUGCAUUGGAAACUGGGAGACUUGAGUGCAGAAGAGGAGAGUGGAACUCCAUGUGUAGCGGUGAAAUGCGUAGAUAUAUGGAAGAACACCAGUGGCGAAAAGCGGCUCUCUGGUCUGUAACUGACGCUGAGGUUCGAAAGCGUGGGUAGCAAACAGGGAUUAG
rnacentral:rRNA from 1 species